AAGUGCCUCAAAGUGGAAGUGAUAAAUCCCGGCUGAAAAUGAUCCCACCUCCUACGCCCACAUCCGACGUAUACGAGAAAUUCGAAACGGCUUGAGGUGCAUAUCAAUGAAAAACGCAUCGAUGAGAGUCUUUCAAUGGGAAUCAAUGAAAAACGCAUCGAUGGGAAUCAAUAUCUCCCUAAUAAUUGUCAUUUAUAGAUCAAAAAGAAAACGCAUCGAAGGAACUCAAUUACAAACCCAUACUCAGACCAUCUCGAUUAUGAACCAGGAGAAUCAGUUUUUGAUGAAGUUGUUGGGGAAACCUGUGUAAUCCACUAUCGGGGCUUAUGGAAUCUGUUAAUCCCUAUUGCUCUUUCUAAUAGGGAGGUUCUUGCUGUUGCGCAACUGCCACAACAUGAUAUAGGGAGUAUAUUUUGAAAUUGAUAGAGACAAGUCUUCUUUUGGUGCAGAUCCAACUCUCCCUUUUAACAUAUUAAUAUAUGCACAUGGUAAUGUGCCUCACCCUUUCUCUCUGACUGUUCAAAAAUAUUUUGAGAACCAUUACGUGAUUUAUGAGCAUGCACUGAUCCACACA